rnacentral:rRNA from 1 species
UUCGCCCUUAGAGUUUGAUCCUGGCUCAGAACGAACGCUGGCGGCAGGCUUAACACAUGCAAGUCGAACGCCCCUUUCGGGGGGAGUGGCAGACGGGUGAGUAACACGUGGGAACGUACCUCUUUGUUCGGAAUAACUCAUGGAAACGUGAGCUAAUACCGGAUACGCCCUUUUGGGGAAAGAUUUAUCGCAGAGAGAUCGGCCCGCGUCUGAUUAGCUAGUUGGUGAGGUAAUGGCUCACCAAGGCGACGAUCAGUAGCUGGUCUGAGAGGAUGAUCAGCCACACUGGGACUGAGACACGGCCCAGACUCCUACGGGAGGCAGCAGUGGGGAAUAUUGGACAAUGGGGGCAACCCUGAUCCAGCCAUGCCGCGUGAGUGAUGAAGGCCUUAGGGUUGUAAAGCUCUUUUAUCCGGGAAGAUAAUGACUGUACCGGAAGAAUAAGCCCCGGCUAACUUCGUGCCAGCAGCCGCGGUAAUACGAAGGGGGCUAGCGUUGUUCGGAAUCACUGGGCGUAAAGGGCGCGUAGGCGGACGAUUAAGUCAGGGGUGAAAUCCCGGGGCUCAACCUCGGAAUUGCCCUUGAUACUGGUUGUCUUGAGAUUGGAAGAGGUAAGUGGAAUUGCGAGUGUAGAGGUGAAAUUCGUAGAUAUUCGCAAGAACACCGGUGGCGAAGGCGACUUACUGGUCCAUAUCUGACGCUGAGGCGCGAAAGCGUGGGGAGCAAACAGGAUUAGAUACCCUGGUAGUCCACGCCGUAAA